GAUGAACGCUGGCGGCGUGCCUAAUACAUGCAAGUCGAGCGAACGGACGAGAAGCUUGCUUCUCUGAUGUUAGCGGCGGACGGGUGAGUAACACGUGGAUAACCUACCUAUAAGACUGGGAUAACUUCGGGAAACCUGAGCUAAUACCGGACAAUAUUUUGAACCGCAUGGUUCAACAGUGAAAGACGGUCUUGCUGUCACUUAUAGAUGGAUCCUCGCUGCAUUAGCUAGUUGGUAAGGUAACGGCUUACCAAGGCAACGAUGCAUAGCCGACCUGAGAGGGUGAUCGGCCACACUGGAACUGAGACACGGUCCAGACUCCUACGGGAGGCAGCAGUAGGGAAUCUUCCGCAAUGGGCGAAAGCCUGACGGAGCAACGCCGCGUGAGUGAUGAAGGUCUUCGGAUCGUAAAACUCUGUUAUUAGGGAAGAACAUAUGUGUAAGUAACUGUGCACAUCUUGACGGUACCUAAUCAGAAAGCCACGGCUAACUACGUG
rnacentral:rRNA from 1 species